rnacentral:rRNA from 1 species
UACGAAGGGGGCUAGCGUUGCUCGGAAUCACUGGGCGUAAAGGGUGCGUAGGCGGGUCUUUAAGUCAGGGGUGAAAUCCUGGAGCUCAACUCCAGAACCGCCUUUGAUACUGAGGAUCUUGAGUUCGGGAGAGGUGAGUGGAACUGCGAGUGUAGAGGUGAAAUUCGUAGAUAUUCGCAAGAACACCAGCGGCGAAGGCGGCUCACUGGCCCGAUACUGACGCUGAGGCACGAAAGCGUGGGGAGCAAACAGG